GAGGAACGCUGGCCCCCUGCAUCCGGACAGACCAGCCUAACUGCCAGAUCCCCAAGGACAGCACCACUGGAAUCCCACUUAAGCCUGGUACCCGCAGCACCAGGAAUUGUAGCCAGGGAAGCCAUCCUACCCAGGAGAACACCGAAUGUUCCAGUCCGAAAAUCCCGUAUCACAAAGGAGCUGACCACCUGCCCCUGUGCCCCUGAUAAGGGAGGAAGCAAGGGCCACUGCGAAUGCAGCAGGGGCAGCAGGAUGCCCACUGCCCAGGGCUGUGGCCUGCAGCACCUGGUUGCAAGGCUCUUCAGGCUGAGGGCCGGGAAGGAGCAGGUACCUCUCCAUCUCCUGCAGCUCCUGCUCCUCUGGUUCCCAGUCGGAAUCAUGUACAGUGCGAUUGAAACUUCAUGGCCCAUGCGCAGAAGUCGGUUUUCGGCCUGGCUUUUAAGGUGAAAAGAUCCUCUUUAUUGAAAACAAUUCGCAGAGUAAACACAGGCAAGUCAAGCGUCUCCUUGUUAAUUUCCCACCCACCACUGAUGCCAUGAAAGAUGCCAGGGCUUUUCUAGUCCCACUCUCACUCAUCCACCAGAGAGCUCAGAAAGGCAGCAGUGAAGUUGGAAAUUAUCCCACUCACAAUUCAGGUGGA